rnacentral:rRNA from 1 species
AUUGAACGCUGGCGGCAUGCCUAACACAUGCAAGUCGAACGGCAGCACGGCAGUAGCAAUACUGUGGGUGGCGAGUGGCGGACGGGUGAGGAAUACGUCGGAAUCUGCCCAGUCGUGGGGGAUAACUAGCCGAAAGGUUAGCUAAUACCGCAUACGACCGAGAGGUGAAAGCGGGGGACCGCAAGGCCUCGCGCGAUUGGAUGAGCCGACGUCGGAUUAGCUAGUUGGAGGGUAAAGGCCCACCAAGGCGACGAUCCGUAGCUGGUCUGAGAGGAUGAUCAGCCACACUGGAACUGAGACACGGUCCAGACUCCUACGGGAGGCAGCAGUGGGGAAUAUUGGACAAUGGGCGCAAGCCUGAUCCAGCAAUGCCGCGUGUGUGAAGAAGGCCUCGGUGUAAG